AGGGACUUAGGUUAAAUCAGACCGGCGGCCUUCAAAGCCGCCAGCAGGAGUUAAAAUCUCCUAGUCCCUG
rnacentral:tRNA from 1 species